GUGCCAGCAGCCGCGGUAAUACGGAGGGUGCGAGCGUUAAUCGGAAUUACUGGGCGUAAAGCGCAUGCAGGUGGUGUGUUAAGUCAGAUGUGAAAGCCCGGGGCUCAACCUCGGAAUAGCAUUUGAAACUGGCACACUAGAGUACUGUAGAGGGGGGUAGAAUUUCAGGUGUAGCGGUGAAAUGCGUAGAGAUCUGAAGGAAUACCAGUGGCGAAGGCGGCCCCCUGGCCAAAGACUGACGCUCAGGUGCGAAAGCGUGGGGAGCAAACAGGAUUAGAUACCCUGGUAGUCC
rnacentral:rRNA from 1 species